AUCUACAGUCAUACCACCCUGAGCACACCUGAUCUGGUCUGAUCUUGGAAGAUAAUCAGGGUUGGGCCUGGUGAGUACCUGCAUGGCAGACAAUGUGUAAGUCCGCAGUACUGGUGUAA
rnacentral:rRNA from 1 species